CUCUGAAAUAUGUGAUAUCAUUUCAACAUGCUCCUUUCUGCUUAACUUGCAGAAUUAUAUUUUUGUUGCUUGCAAUCCAAAAUCCUAUUAGCGGAAGAUCUAAAGUUCCUUAACUGUUCAUAAAUCCCAUAAAUUGUUGUGUGUCUCUUUGGCCUUUGCAAAGCACUUUUGUACAUAUGGUUUAUUUUAUCUUCAGUAUAAACUAGGUGGGGAUGCUUGAUUAGUCAUAUGUAUAUGAUUAUAUCCAUGCAGAUGAGAACAAAUGAAUAUCACAGGGGUCCAUGGACGGCUCAGUGUCACACAACCAGUCUGGAUGGGGCAGGGUUUGUGCCCACUGGAAUUCCCCACACUUUUCCUAUGUCACCGCUGUCUCCCUGUCCGGGUUGAAACUGAGAUCAUGACGGUGAAGAUGAAUUCUAAACUGAAGAGCAUUAUAUGUUUCCUAUUAUUGUCCAAGGUCACCCAGGGUGAAGGUGGAAGAAACCUCCUUAAUUCUAAUCCAGUGUCUUUUUCAAUUCAUUCCAAAGGAACGCAUUUGCUUAAUUAAAUUUAUAGGUUGGUUACUCUUUUUGGUACUUAUUUUUAUAGCUGGUUUAGGAAUAAAAUGAGACAUUUCUUAGCUAUAUGAAAAAAUUUAAGAAAUCUUUGCAUGGGGUUUUUAAGAAGCCCACCAAAAUGACUUCCCUGUCACCUCUAAGUCCUCACCGUUCACUCAAGGUUAUCUACUGCAAAGAGAUGGAACUAUACCUCAUAAGUAAAUUAAUGACCGCACUGGAGAAUCUGCUUUAAUUAUCUCAACACUCUCCAAAUUGUCGGAAUAUUUUUUUUUUCCAGUUCCUGUCUCAUCUGCCAUCUGCUCUUGUUAAACCUUGUGACGAAAUCACAUCCUCGAACAUCCCUGACAGCAUCUCAUCUCCUGGUGAGAAGAAAGGCAGGUAGACAGAGGAAUGGAGCAACAGGCAGCACCCCAAUUAGUAGUGACUGCUGAGCAAGAAAAAUGAGAUGGAAAUGGAAUGAACUCCACUGACCACAGAAGAUUCAAGUAGCCAAGAGGGAAAUUCACAGAUCCAUUAGAAACCCAGGAGUGUGAUGGCGAUCCAGCAUAUUCCUAGAUCUCUUUUCUGAUCAUAAUGGAGGAUGAAUUCAUUCAGAUGGAAAUGGACAUCCAGACUGAUAUGUUAAUCACUCGGCUUCACAAAACCUUGCUCAGAUUACAGAAGCUCCGUUUCCACCAUGUCCAAAAUAACUGUGGUGACUUUGCCCGGAAGAUGAUUGGACACUGUGAGGGAGCUGGGUGGGGCUGGGGCCGGAGUUGGGGGGCAGAACUAAGUCUCCAGGCAAAGAAGGAAAAUAGAGACUCCUUCCUUCCUCAUCCACUGACUUCAUAAGUCCUCAUGGGAGAGUAGGUUAUCUCUAGACUCUUCUCCAGCCUACAAAAAAGCCAAAUCUGUCCCAGAGCAUCUUAACUGAUUGUCAGUAGCCCCAGCAACUCCCAUCAGAAGGUGGAGUCUAUUUUUCUGCUUCUUGAAGCUGAACUCACCUUGUGACUUGCUUCUGUCAACACAGUGAGGCAAAGAGACGUUGCACCAGUUCUGAGGCUACAGGACUCCAGAAGACUUUGCCUUCCCCCCAGAUACACCACUGCUGGGUUGCAGGCCAAACCAAGCCCAGGUGAGCCCACCCGGUGACUAAAGACACUUCAUCCAUUGGCCGCAUCCACAGGAGCUGGUCCAUCCCAUUGAUCUCAAUCCACCAAGUCCAAACACACAUGAAAAGAAGAGCCCCACGGAGCCAUCCCCUAACCGCCUUCCCCAUCUCUGUUAGUUGAGAACAACCGUGGCUGUGAGCAUCGGUAGUGAGACAAAGACAGAAGUCUUGUGGUGUUUCCCCAGCUCGGUUCCUGUUCUUCCUAUUUUAAAUACCUAGAAGGUGGCAUUGAAGCUGAAUGAUAUCACAGCCAGAGUUCCCCAAGCACCAAGCAAUUAGGAGGAGAAGCACAGAUAUUUUUGGGAGGUACCUAAACCCCUGUUAGCGAGGCCACGUUUUCUGUUACUUGCAGCUCAACACAAUUCCAACUGAAGCAAGGGUGGUAUUGAAAGUCAUACUAGACUAGGAGGCAUACUGGAAGGUGACAGUGACCUGGGGAAUGUAAAAGCCCAUUCAUUCACUCAUUUACUCAGUCAUUUAAAUAUGCAUUGAGUGCCCAUCUGCAGACCCUUUGGGGCAGGGGGGUCAAGUGUCUGUUAAUCACACCCUACAGGUUCAUGGUUGGGGAGAACGUGAGGAAUAACCAAGUCCUACUUUCCUCCCAGUUUCCCCUUUUAGGAUACCUGGGGCAGGUUUCUAACUCCAAGGCCGCCCUUUUCCUAUUUGUUACAAAUUGAUUUCUAAUUAAAUCAACAUCUACCUACCCAUUGCAUUGAUCAGCUGGCUACAAUCUCAAUUUCUUUCUUUCUUUCUUUCUUUUUUCUUUUUCUUGUAGUACAGUGGGAUCAAACCCAGGGUCUAACACAUGCUAGGCAAGUGCUCUACCAAUGAGCUACUGCUACAUCCCCAGACCUUUUUAUUUUAUUUUGAGACAGUGUCUCACUUAGUUGCCCAGCCUGGCUUUAAUCUUGCGAUUCUCCUGCCUCAGACUCCUGAGUAGCACAGUCUUGUAUUUGAUUGCUUUUCAGAUCAUUUCUUGGAAGACUGUCAAGGGAAAGGAGGUGAAACACAGAGGCUAGGAUGUGGGCCUGGAGUAGAGAAUGACAAUGAGAACUGAGAGAAGUCUAAAUUUUUUUUUUCAAAAUCACAUUUUAUCUCAACAGUUCAAAAACACAGGAGAGAUCAAAAAGAACCUUGGUUUGUUUUAAUUUAGAAAUCAUAUUUUUAUUUCUUACCAGGAAAUAACUGCUACUUGAGGAGCAGACAUCCCAUUUAUCUUGUGGCUUCUAUACCUUUGCUGCCGAGGAAGCAAGACCAUGCUAUUCUCCACAAUAGCUCUAGGCAGGUGUUAUUCAUUUAACACCUACAAUAUGCCAAUCAUUGUGGUAGGGUACUUCACUCUCAUGUGCCAUAUAAUUUUCAGCCCUAUGCAGUAUGAUUUUCUCCAUGUUAAAGAUGAAAAAGUCCAGAGGUUUUCAAUUAUUUUUUUCUCAAGCCCUCAAAAGGGAUAAAGUGGAAAUGAUAUUUAAACCCGGUUCUGAACAUCUUCAAAGCUCAUCUCCUGUUCUACAACUUGCCCUUGAUAAGCAACAGUCCCACGUAUAAGAGAAAAGCUUUUCCUUCUCUUUUCCAAAUAUCCUUGAGGGAAAAGGAAGCUAAAAUAAAAUCAGAGUCCCUUUUCAAAAGGGACUUAUAAAUUGCUAGACAUUGAUUAAUGACAGAAAAUGGAAGGAAGAGACAGUAUCUUGGUCUCUCUCUCUCUCUCUUUCUCCCCCCCCCCUUUCUUUCUUGUCACUCUAUCCUAAAAGGUCUGGAAACUCUUAGAACACACCUACUGGAAUCCUGGGGUAUGUACGGUAAAUAAAGAUCCAAGUAAAUAGAAGAAAAUCCCGAUUUCUUGGCAAGGUCAAAGUUGCAAAAUGAAGACCCAGUUGCUGUCCCCUAAAAUGGAGAAACUCUCUGUGCCAGGUUUGAGGAGUCCAUGGUAACUUUAA